AGUACAAAUAAGUUACGCGGAAAUCUGAUCGGAAUUCAUUAGUACGUCGAGCCAGACUCAAAUUAUUACCUGAAAAACUUCACAUUUGAUUACCCAAGUAUAAUUUUGCUCGCGUUUCUCUUUUUUGGCCUAUUCUCUAUCAGUUUUCUGCCAUUUUAAAAAAUAUAUUCACCCCGGAACGUUCUUUUUUAAAAUUUUAUCGCCAAAAUCAACAGGUUAAUUAUUUAUUUUCAAGUGAUAUUUUAAGCGUGAUGCGUCUCGUGGUUUUUGCCAUCAUAUUUACCGUUAUUUCUACUCACGAGAGGUCGUGGGCAGAAGAAACAAUACUUAAAGCCAAGGAAAUUGACGAGGCAAAACAAGAGCUCCGCCGGUUACCUGAGGAUGAUAAAGUUGACCUCAUUCUUAAAUUGCAAUCCGACUUGGACAACACCAAAUCUAGACUGGGAACCGAGUUGAAUAACACUAAACUUGAACUGGAAGAGGAAACUAAUUUACGUCGAAAGCUGCAAUGCACACAAGAUUUUCGGAAAUUAAUGGAAGAACUUGUAUCAGAAUGCUAUCCUGAAUGGGCUACAGUUAGAAAAAAGAAUUCAUAUUAUUAUGAUGAAGAUGUUUGGCGACACGUUCUGUUGAACAUAGAACAUUGGCGAGUUUUACACCUGAAAAUUGAAUUGCAUAAGGCAAAUGUGUCGGAAAAAACGUUCAUCGAAAUUAUGGAAUAUUAUUCAAAAUUAAGAAAACGGGCCGCUCAUGAUGAAAGGCUAAUGCACCCACAGGAGCGUGAAGAAGUUUUUCUCGAAUUUUUGAAAACCAAACCCGGUGCUGAAAAGGUAGUGCUGCGUGUGCUAUUCAACUAUUCGUACCGAAUUCUUAUAGAUGGUGUUCUUGUUAACACCGACGACACUGUAAUCAACAAAAUAACUCAAGAUACUGAGGAACAGCGCGAAUCAUACAGAUUAUUACAGUUACCAAAAUUCAAUUUACCUUACCACGGUGAAGAGUUUAUAGAAAAUGCUUUCAUAGACUUUGUCAAGAUACUCAAUGGAAAACAGGGUUUAAGCAUACAAACUUGCGCGUUUUUCGCGGAUGAAAAAGCGGGAGCAUUUAUAUUAUUUGAUAGUUUUAACGGCACAUAUGAAACCUGGAAACACAUGAAUGACUUCCCUAAAGAAAUCGCGUUUCAACCAGAAGAACUUGACGAUAUAAUUCUUACAACGGUGAGCCAGAAUGCUUUAUUCAAGAACUUGACUGUAUUGAAUAUUACAAGCAGAACACUCCUCACAUCAGACCUCGAGGCUUGGGACUAUAACAAAGUGAUCAGCGAGGUCAAAAAUAUACUCGCCAAUACCGAAAUUGAAAGCUGCUUGAAAACGCAAGAAGGCGACUCCGUCCACAUUUAUUAUAAAAAAUUUGAAAGCACCCUCGUUGCAUACCAGAAAAUGGUGAGUACAAAGUAGGUACAUUACAUACGCACUACAUGAAAAAUAUGGAAAUUUAGUCUUCACCUACAAGGAAGUGCUGAGAUCCCAAAAAGUAGCAGCGGAACUUUCUAUAAUAAACGCAACAACUGUGAACCAGGAGAACUUAAUUCCCGUUGAUAUCAAGGGUUAACGAUAUACGAGUAUUUGAUACUCAUUAAUGAAUACGUAUAGUACAUAGAAUAUAAUACGAUAUCGUUACACCGUUGGUCGGGAACCUUUUGACAUCCCCCCCUCUCUUCAAAAUAGUCUGCAAUUAUGUUAAGAAAAAAAGCACUGGCUUGUUACCGAAUUUGAGCCAGGCAAAUAGUAGUCAGGUAGUAGGUAGGCGAGAUUUAUAUUUAGAAGUACCUAUUUCAUAGUACAUAGUUUUUAGGUGGAGGGGUGUAGACUGAACAUUUUCAUUUAAAAAAAAUCAGGUUUUGCCGAUUGAUAUCAUGAUACGACUCACAGAAGUUUUCAUUUUUCGUUCAAAAUUUUUGGUGCUUAAUUGUAAAAAAAAGAGACGAAGUUUCCUAAGCGAAGCGAAGGCAAAAGUUUUCAAGCAUUUUCAAAAAGUGAAUAAAGGAACAUAAAUUAGAGGAUCCUUUCAUAUUACUUACUUACAAACAAACUGGGAAAAAAAUAAAACACUUUGUAAAUAUAAAUUUGUUACACGUACUUACUUAUUACUAAAAAAAGCACAACACAACUUCCUUGGAAGAAAAAAUUAAAUUUCGAUUGGAUUUCUUAGACAUGAUAAUUUUCAAUAUGAUUUUUCACUGAAGUGAAGAAAUAUUCAAUUCGAAUAGAUUUUCAGAGGUUGAACGAUAGGAAUUUUUCCUAAAAUGUUUAAUUUAGGUAGGUAUUUCUUAUUUAAUCGACUCGGGAUGUCGAAUUUACAACAGGGUUAAAUUUUCAGAUGCUCGAGCUAAUUCUACAACGCUUUCUGGAGCGAUUUGGAAUAUGUAGCUGGAGAAAAGUCAACUUUUGCUGAAGGUAUCACGUCGGCUCGAAAAUGGUGGAAAUCGAUUCGGGAUUUCGAGAGGUCUACUUUGGCACCGUUUCGUCAAAAAAAAAAAAAAAAAAAAAAAAAAAUAGAAUAAAUAAA